AGGUCCCGCCUGCCCUGUGACGAAAGUUUAACGGCCGCGGUAUUUUGACCGUGCGAAGGUAGCGUAAUCACUUGUCCUUUAAAUAGGGACCAGUAUGAAUGGCAUAACGAGGGCUAAGCUGUCUCCUUUUUCCAGUCAAUGAAAUUGAUCUGCCCGUGCAGAAGCGGGCAUACAAACAUAAGACGAGAAGACCCUAUGGAGCUUCAGACACCAGAGCAGCCUACGUUAAAGACCCUAAACUACUAGGAAUAAACAAAAUAGCCCCUGCCCUCCUGUCUUUGGUUGGGGCGACCGCGGAGUAAGAAAAAACCCCCACGUGGAAUGGGUACACCCCCUAAGGCUAGAGCCACAGCUCAAGCAAACAGAACAUCUGACCAAUAAGAUCCGGCAGUGCCGAUCAACGGACCCAGUUACCCUAGGGAUAACAGCGCAAUCCCCUUUUAGAGCCCAUAUCGACAAGGGGGUUUACGACCUCGAUGUUGGAUCAGGACUUCCUAAUGGUGCAGCCGCUAUUAAGGGUUCGUUUGUUCAACGAUUAAAGUCCU
rnacentral:rRNA from 1 species